rnacentral:rRNA from 1 species
GGGGCGUGAGCCAUCCGGUGGAGAGAUCACUAGUGAGAAUGAUGACAUGAGUAGCGACAAAGAGUGUGAGAGACACUCUCGCCGAAAGUCCAAGGGUUCCUGCUUAAAGCUAAUCUGAGCAGGGUAAGCCGGCCCCUAAGCCGAGGCCGAAAGGCGUAGGCGAUGGGAACCAGGUUAAUAUUCCUGGGCCAGGAGGAUGUGACGGAUUGCGACUGUAGUUCAGCCUUAUCGGAUUGGUUGGGCUGCUGAGCAGUCCCUGGAAAUAGCCCUCCAUCAGACCGUACCCUAAACCGACACAGGUGGACUGGUAGAGAAUACCAAGGCGCUUGAGAGAACGAUCUUGAAGGAACUCGGCAAAAUACCUCCGUAAGUUCGCGAGAAGGAGGCCCGGU